rnacentral:pre_miRNA from 1 species
AUACUACUCCCUCCGUCCGAAAUUACUUGUCGGAGAAAUGCAUAAAAAUGGAUGUAUCUAUAACUAAAAUACAUCUAGAUACAUCCAUUCCUCCGACAAGUAUUUUCGGACGGAGGGAGUACUUU